ACGCUCGACACCUACUGGAGGCAGCAGUGAGGAAUAUUGGUCAAUGGGCGCUAGCCUGAACCAGCCAAGUAGCGUGAAGGAUGAAGGCUCUAUGGGUCGUAAACUUCUUUUAUAUAAGAAUAAAGUGCAGUAUGUAUACUGUUUUGUAUGUAUUAUAUGGAUAAGGAUCGGCUAACUCCGUGCCAGCAGCCACGGUAAUCUGAGGCGGGCUGGCAAGGC
rnacentral:rRNA from 1 species